GUCCUAGCACAAAGUUGGUUCCCAAUAAUGUCUGUUAAAGAAAUACACUGCAAAUGACUGAUGGAGCCAUUUGUGGUAUCAUUUAAAAAGAAUCUCUGAAAACUAAACUAAUAAUGUCCCAGGCAUAGGACGUUGACAUAUGAGAAUUUUUGCCUUCAGAGUUUAAUAAGGGAGGUUGACAUGUAAACAGAUAAAUGAAAAUAAAAUUGUGAUAAAUGUAACAACAGAAACACAGCGAGAAGGAGAGUGGGAUUAAUGCACUGCUCUAAAGCAGCUAUUUUCAAGAAACCCACAGAUUAUGUUACUUCAAAGUCAACAACAACAACAACAAAACCUGAAAGAUUAUAUAGAAGAGAGACCAAAAUUUAAGAGGGAAUAUCCAUUUAUUUUACAUCUAGAAUGUCAUGCUUUAAAUGCUCCUUGAUUAAUGGCACAUUCUGUUCUUCAGCUUCCUGAGAAACAAUACAAAUGUGGAGAAUAUGUGACCCAUAUUUCUGUGUUAAUUUUCCUUUAGGACAAUAGCAUUUCAAGCAAUCCCUCAUACAGCCACACUUCAGGGUAAUAAACCAAUCUGGAUGGUCCUUUGGCUUUUAUUUUUUACCAUGAUAGGAUUUGAUACACACGCAACAUAACUGUUGAGAUAAGUGUAAUACAGAUGCCUCGAGAACCGCAUGGUCAACUUUUAAAACGCUGAGACAACUUAAUGGCAUCACUGAUGAUGAAGCCCAGAAAAGUUGCUGUCAGUAACAGCAAUUACCAACCCAGACUUACUUUUAAGCUGCUAGUGUCUUGGUUGUGUCCCAGCCACUGCAAAAUGACAGUAAGUCUUCUCUAAGCCGAUAGGUUAGUUGGGAGGAGGCUCAACUUUUGAGGGUCACGUGGUCCCAGGUCUUCAAGUAGCUUCGGAACGUAAUGGGGAGAGACAGACGAUAAACAAGUCAAGCAAAGGGUCCCUGGGCAGGUGACAGUGAAGCUGGAAACCUUCCUGUGGUGGGGAAGGGCUUGGCAUGUUUGAGAAACUGAAAGGAGGCCGGUGUGGUUAGAGCACAGCUAUGUUAUAGCACGUGUUGCAUGUGACACAAGGAUUCACAUGAGAGAUACAUGUGCAGGUCUACACCGACCACUGGAAAGCUCAAAACACCCACCUCAGUCCACCUGAGACAUGGACCAACACCAAGUCUGGUUCUGUCUGAACUUCCGAGCCACGAUUUUCUUUAGCUUCCUAUUUCUCAUAUAUUGUUAAGUUCGGCUUACAUACUUGUGUCUUGACAAGUCAGUAUAAAAGGAAAGACUAUAAACAAAUGUAUUUGUUCAGAGACCGAGUUACUUGAUUUAGCAGAAGUGCUUCAAGAAAAGGCCUCCAGCAGAGAAAGGCACGUGUCCCAGGAAGCAGAGUCAGCAUCAGCAGCGAGGGGAGGAAGAGUGUAACAAGGAAAAAACAGCGAGAUGGGGCCUCUGGACACAUGUUUAGCAGCUGUUGUGGCUCAUAGGUGUGGGGUUUAGAAAAGCUACCUGAAGAGGGUCUGUACAAAGUUUUGCUGCAAGAUGAUUUUUUUUUUUGGGGGGGGGGGGGUCCUUCUAGGGCUGCACCCGAGGCAUAUGGAAGAUUUCAGGCUAGGGGUGGAAUCGGAGCUACAGCUGCUGGUCUAUGCCACAGCCACAGCUGCAGCCAUGUGAGAUCCGAGUGGCAUCAGUGACCUAUUCCAUGACUCAUGGCAACACCAGAUCCUUAACGCACUGAUAGAGGCCAGGGAUUGAACCCGUGUCCCCAUGGAUACUAGUUGGGUUCUUACUGCUGAGCCACGAUGGGAACUCUGCAAGAUGAAUUUUGAAAACUGUCAUGGUUAAACUGGUAUAUUAAGACUAGACCACGAGACUGCCCAGUUUUCUGUCAUUUCUAAGUGCUAGAAUAGAGAUGCGAGAGGAACUGCUGAACACUAAAGAAGGCAGCUUCAACGGAUCAGAGAAAGUAUUUCAGCAUGGUCACGGCCACUCUUUAUCAAGAGGUUACUGGAGGUACUGGCUCUUUUACUUAGAGACUGAAACAUAGUUUUCGAGACUGGAUUUCUUUUCCAAACUAUUUGACCCACAGCAAUGAAUCUGGAGAUGAGAGGUACUGGGUUGCAUACAGAAGAAAUGAUUUGGAUCAAUAGCAAUAUAACAGAAUAUACAUAUGGAAAGAGGACCUCUGCACAAGUUCGGGGCAUAGACAGAAGACUGCAGAUGCUCGAGGCAUGGAGGAGAGACACCAUUGGCAUCCUUUGGUUUCUCGAGUAUUCAGAGUGUAAUAAAAAUGUCAAAACUUUCACACAGAAACCAAUGAAGCAUCUCCUGACAAAGAGAAAUGGGUCUGGACCAUAGGGAUAGGUCUUCUGAGAUGUUUAAAAUGACAGACAAGCUAAAUUACAUGGAAAGCUUUUAUUUUUCUAAAGCAGACAAACUAUAUUUUUACUGAUACUGAAAGACCAUUUACUUGUUUAAAAAAAUAAGUUCAGGGCAUGUUCUUUUAGUUCCAGAGCUUCCCAUACCCUCUAUAACAGAGAAUACUAAUGACUAAUAAAAUUGGGCACCAUGUCUUUUCUUAUCAGUCCCAAAAGAGCAAUAAUCAUCACUCUACUGCCAUUUCCAGUGUAAAGUGAAAUCACUAAUCCACUGGGACUCAAAGUGAAAAGCUGCAAGAUAUGGUUUUAUUGCUGCCACUUUUUCAAUACAUAUUUCCAUUUUUGCGGAAGACUUCUGUUUAAUUACCCAUGGACACCGAUCACAGGAAAAACACAUGUGGAAAUGUACAGACUAUAUAAUGCCCACUCUAUACACUGUGUGCCUACAAACAGAAUUCCAUCUUUAGCUGGCUUCACAAAAAGGCUAUCUUUUUCAGAGUUAAUCAUGCUAUAAAAAAUACUACCUUUUCCCCGGUUUUGGUGAAGAUCCCUACAAAAUUAUGCAAUGAACUCCAGGCAUUGCCAUUUGCAUUACAGGGUGUCUAAGUCAUGAUUCUGACUCUGAGUUCAGUGGCAUGUAAAGUGAUGCUAAAUAGUUCUACUCUGGACCAGCUAUUUAAAGAGCGAUUUAAGGCAAAUACAGAUAUCCUUUAAGGCUGCUUAAAGGAAUUUACAUAUGUCUGUGCACACCAUUUGCUAGAUGCAUACGCAAGUAUUUUAAGAUUUAAUUGAAAUAUUCAUGUGAAUAAAUACCCUUACCCAACAGGCUCUUUUCUUUCAGGCACAUUUCAUGGCAACUGAUUAAUAGCUAGUUAAGCUAAGAUAAUGAGCAACUUCUUGAAUACAUUUUAAGGUCAGACUGAAAAAUUUAUCCAGUUUAGAGAAAAGUUAGUACUUACACUAAUAGGUCCUGAGGGGUGAGGAGGGAAGGAGCUAAGGAGCCAACAGAGAGAGGGGCAAACGCCAAUACAGAAACUU
ensembl:lncRNA